rnacentral:rRNA from 1 species
AGCGAACGCUAGCGGCGAGCUUAACACAUGCAAGUCGAACAAAGGCUUCGGCCUUAGUGGCGCACGGGUGCGUAACGCGUGGGAAUCUGCCCUUGGGUUCGGAAUAACUCAGAGAAAUUUGAGCUAAUACCGGAUGAUGACGUAAGUCCAAAGAUUUAUCGCCCAAGGAUGAGCCCGCGUAAGAUUAGCUAGUUGGUGGGGUAAAGGCCUACCAAGGCGACGAUCUUUAGCUGGUCUGAGAGGAUGAUCAGCCACACUGGGACUGAGACACGGCCCAGACUCCUACGGGAGGCAGCAGUGGGGAAUAUUGGACAAUGGGCGAAAGCCUGAUCCAGCAAUGCCGCGUGAGUGAUGAAGGCCUUAGGGUUGUAAAGCUCUUUUACCAGGGAUGAUAAUGACAGUACCUGGAGAAUAAGCUCCGGCUAACUCCGUGCCAGCAGCCGCGGUAAUGUGUGACUG